CGGGAUAUAGUAUAAUGGUAGUACGCGAGCAUGGGGUGCUUGUAGCCCCGGUCCGAUUCCGGGUAUCCCGA
rnacentral:tRNA from 1 species